rnacentral:rRNA from 1 species
GACGAACGCUGGCGGCGUGCUUAACACAUGCAAGUCGAACGGAAAGGCCCUGCUUUUGUGGGGUGCUCGAGUGGCGAACGGGUGAGUAACACGUGAGUAACCUGCCCUUGACUUUGGGAUAACUUCAGGAAACUGGGGCUAAUACCGGAUAGGAGCUCCUGCUGCAUGGUGGGGGUUGGAAAGUUUCGGCGGUUGGGGAUGGACUCGCGGCUUAUCAGCUUGUUGGUGGGGUAGUGGCUUACCAAGGCUUUGACGGGUAGCCGGCCUGAGAGGGUGAACGGCCACAUUGGGACUGAGAUACGGCCCAGACUCCUACGGGAGGCAGCAGUGGGGAAUAUUGCACAAUGGGCGGAAGCCUGAUGCAGCAACGCCGCGUGCGGGAUGACGGCCUUCGGGUUGUAAACCGCUUUCGCCUGUGACGAAGCGUGAGUGACGGUAAUGUGUAAAGAAGCACCGGCUAACUACGUG